rnacentral:rRNA from 1 species
UGAGGAAUUUUGCGCAAUGGGAGCAAUCCUGACGCAGCAACGCCGCGUGGGUGAUGAAGGCCUUCGGGUCGUAAAGCUCUGUCAAAGGGAAAGAAGUGCAUAAUGGCUAAUACCUGUUAUGUUUGACGGUACCCUUAAAGGAAGCACCGGCUAACUCCGUGCCAGCAGCCGCGGUAAUACGGAGGGUGCAAGCGUUGUUCGGAAUUACUGGGCGUAAAGGGCGCGUAGGCGGUUUGAUAAGUCAGAUGUGAAAGCCCACGGCUUAACUGUGGAAGUGCAUUUGAAACUGUCAGACUUGAGUACCAGAGGGGAAAGUGGAAUUCCCGGUGUAGAGGUGAAAUUCGUAGAUAUCGGGAGGAAUACCGGUGGCGAAGGCGACUUUCUGGCUGGAUACUGACGCUGAGGCGCGAAAGCGUGGGGAGCAAACA